UACGUAGGGUGCGAGCGUUUAAUCGGAAUUACUGGGCGUAAAGCGUGCGCAGGCGGUUCGUUGUGUCGGCGGUGAAAGCCCCGGGCUUAACCCCCGGGAGGCGGGUGGAUACUGUCAAGCUCGAGUCCGGAAGAGGAGUGUGGAAUUCCUGGUGUAGCGGUGAAAUGCGCAGAUAUCAGGAGGAACACCAAUGGCGAAGGCAGCACUCUGGGACGUGACUGACGCUGAGACGCGAAAGCGUGGGGGGCAAACAGG
rnacentral:rRNA from 1 species